rnacentral:rRNA from 1 species
UAGGGAAUCUUCGGCAAUGGACGAAAGUCUGACCGAGCAACGCCGCGUGAGUGAAGAAGGUUUUCGGAUCGUAAAACUCUGUUGUUAGAGAAGAACAAGGACGUUAGUAACUGAACGUCCCCUGACGGUAUCUAACCAGAAAGCCACGGCUAACUACGUGCCAGCAGCCGCGGUAAUACGUAGGUGGCAAGCGUUGUCCGGAUUUAUUGGGCGUAAAGCGAGCGCAGGCGGUUUCUUAAGUCUGAUGUGAAAGCCCCCGGCUCAACCGGGGAGGGUCAUUGGAAACUGGGAGACUUGAGUGCAGAAGAGGAGAGUGGAAUUCCAUGUGUCGCGGUGAAAUGCGUAGAUAUAUGGAGGAACACCAGUGGCGAAGGCGGCUCUCUGGUCUGUAACUGACGCUGAGGCUCGAAAGCGUGGGGAGCAAACAGGA